UACGUAGGGUGCGAGCGUUAAUCGGAAUUACUGGGCGUAAAGCGUGCGCAGGCGGUCUGUUAAGACCGAUGUGAAAUCCCCGGGCUUAACCUGGGAACUGCAUUGGUGACUGGCAGGCUUUGAGUGUGGCAGAGGGAGGUAGAAUUCCACGUGUAGCAGUGAAAUGCGUAGAGAUGGUGGAGGAAUACCGAUGCGAAGGCAGCCUCCUGGGCCAACACUGACGCUCAUGCACGAAAGCGUGGGGAGCAAACAGG
rnacentral:rRNA from 1 species